UACGGGGGGGGGCAAGCGUUGUUCGGAAUUAUUGGGCGUAAAGGGCGCGUAGGCGGCCAUGCGUGUCUUCCGUGAAAUCCCUCGGCUUAACUGAGGACGUGCGGAAGAAACUGCAAGGCUCGAGUCCGGGAGAGGGGGGUGGAAUUCCCAGUGUAGCGGUGAAAUGCGUAGAUAUUAGGAAGAACACCGGUGGCGAAGGCGGCCCACUGGUCCGGUACUGACGCUGAGGUGCGAAAGCGUGGGGAGCAAACAGG
rnacentral:rRNA from 1 species